UACAGAGGGUGCAAGCGUUAAUCGGAAUUACUGGGCGUAAAGCGUGCGUAGACGGUUAUUUAAGUCAGGUGUGAAAGCCCCGGGCUCAACCUGGGAACUGCAUCUGUGACUGCAUCGCUGGAGUACGGUAGAGGGGGAUGGAAUUCCGCGUGUAGCAGUGAAAUGCGUAGAUAUGCGGAGGAACACCGAUGGCGAAGGCAAUCCCCUGGACCUGUACUGACGCUCAUGCACGAAAGCGUGGGGAGCAAACAGG
rnacentral:rRNA from 1 species